CUUGCAGCAGAAUUUGGUGAGCACCCGCUAUGUGCCAGGCACUGUUCAGUGAACUGGGGGCUCGGAAGUGAAUGAGACCAUCUCACCAUGGAGAAAGGUUACAUCCACUCAAGGGAAACAAGUGUAAUAGUGUGUGUUUCAGACACAACCUGAAACCCAAAGAGGAACCUCUCCAAGGAACUGGCAGAUGCGAGCCUGGUGCCUCUAUGCCAGAUCCUCGAGAAACAUCCAUGAAAUGGCCCCAAGCAGCUUGCCUGGCUCUCCAAGUGUGUUGCCUUACAUGCAUCUCCAGAGUGAGAGGACUCGUUGCUGCUGCAGAUCUGUGAGUGCAGACUGUCGUCACUCACCUACUUCUUGUGUCAGCAAAGUCUUCUUCCUCUUCCCUCUUGCUCAUGAGACUAUUUUUCUGGAAACCAUUAAUAACCCCUGGAAAAUUGCACUUUCAACUCUCUUCCAAAGAACUAAAGACUGUUGUGCAAAUACUGAACCAAAAGGGGAAAACUCUUUGUAAAACAGUUAGGAGGGACUAAAGAGAAGCAGGAAACCGGUCAGGGAAGCUCUGGUAACUCCAGAUGCCUCUGUGGCCCCAUGAUAUCCACAAAGAAAGAAGCCUAAUAACCUGAGAUAGGUAACUGAGAGCUUUAGAGUUUCCAAAUUUAUUUAAUGUUGCACUGAUUGCUUGUCUUAGUAAAG